UUAAGUGAGCAGUGAGAUUAAGGUUCUUAAACUGAGGGAGAGCAAAGACAGCCUGUCUCUUAUUGCACAGAACAAUAAGAGCAUUCUGGGUGCAGAGUGUGGAGUGGCCCCUGUCAUCUGGACUUACUCUUCUCUUUGCGGAUUGCUGACAACAGACUACAUUGUGGACUACAGAACUGAUCUAAUGGGAUCUGACGUCAGUUCUAUGAUAAAAUAUGCCCAGGGCCCCUUGAUCUAAGCUGACCACACUACUGUGCAUCAUGAUGGUAAAUGUUGCCUGGGAACCACCAGGGUUUCUUCCUGAAGCGGAGGGAGGCUACUCAGGACAUUUGUCCACAGUGCUGCCAGUCAUCCUACCCCAUAAGGAUGAAGAACAGGAAAUACAGCGAUGGAGCCAACCACGCUCUCCAUUUCAUGUGCACUUUUAUGGCUUUGAAGAAAAACUACCCUAGAUGUUCACAAAUGUCAGGAUCAAUGUUGCUGUCCCCGUUGAUCUUAAACACACUGGGAUUGUUCACAGCACCUAUUAGAAAAAAACCUUAAAAGCUGUCCUCUAUCUUAGGGUGUAUUGUAUUCUACAUUGUAUGUUAAAGGGGCCACAGAGGAAUAGUAAAGCUGAAAUUUAGGUGAAAGAAGAGAAGAAUCCUUUUCAAUCACACACACACACACACACACAUGCACACAUGUACACACA
rnacentral:sRNA from 1 species